CUAUACAUGACUCUGCGCAUAUCAAUAAGCGGAGGAAAAGAAACUAACAAGGAUUCCCCUAGUAACGGCGAGUGAAGCGGGAAGAGCUCAAAUUUGAAAUCUUAAAGGGUUUCCCUUUACGAAUUGUAGUUUAAAGAAGUGUUUUCUGUUGAGGUUUUGGUAAAAGUUCUUUGGAAUAGGACAUCAUAGAGGGUGAGAAUCCCGUAUUUGACCUUUACUUUCAACUUUGUGAUACACUUUCAAAGAGUCGGAUUGUUUGGGAAUGCAGUCCAAAAUGGGUGGUAAAUUUCAUCUAAAGCUAAAUAUUGGCGAGAGACCGAUAGCGAACAAGUACCGUGAGGGAAAGAUGAAAAGAACUUUGAAAAGAGAGUUAAACAGUACGUGAAAUUGUCAAAAGGGAAGCGUUUGACACCAGUGUUGUUUUUCUGAAAAUCAAUUAAAGAACUGUUUAUGCUAAGUUGUUUAGACUUUAUCAGCUAACUGUUUAGUUUUGAGCUUUUCUUUAAUGCACUUUUCAGUUAACAAGUCAACAUCAAUUUCUUUUGCUGUAAAAAAGCUUGAGGAAGGUGGCUUGAGAUUCGUCUUAAGUGUUUAUAGCCUCUUGCCUAUGCAGUCGGAGAGAUUGAGGUCUGCAGCGUAGAUCCUUCGGGGCUAAAUGCAUUUGUGCUAAGUUAUAGCAUUUCAUAGACAACUUGUUGACUAUGAUUUGUCUUGUAGCUUACUCGCUUAUGUUAUUUUACCUACGCUUAGGAUGUUGACAGCAGUAUAGACUGU
rnacentral:rRNA from 1 species